rnacentral:rRNA from 1 species
AAGCGCAUGUGCUGUGAGCUCGAUGAGUAGGGCGGGACACGUGGUAUCCUGUCUGAAUAUGGGGGGACCAUCCUCCAAGGCUAAAUACUCCUGACUGACCGAUAGUGAACCAGUACCGUGAGGGAAAGGCGAAAAGAACCCCGGCGAGGGGAGUGAAAAAGAACCUGAAACCGUGUACGUACAAGCAGUGGGAGCCCCACCACUAAGCCAGUGGUGAACUCCACAUACGCAUCCUUUGCUGAGGAUACGGUUAACGGAGCGAAAGCGACGUUCAACCGCAAAAGAAGCAGAGGGGGCUUAGUGGUGGGGUGACUGCGUACCUUUUGUAUAAUGGGUCAGCGACUUAUAUUCUGUAGCAAGGUUAACCGAAUAGGGGAGCCGGAGGGAAACCGAGUCUUAAUUGGGCGUUAAGUUGCAGGGUAUAGACCCGAAACCCGGUGAUCUAGCCAUGGGCAGGUUGAAGGUUGGGUAACACUAACUGGAGGACCGAACCGACUAAUGUUGAAAAAUUAGCGGAUGACCUGUGGCUGGGGGUGAAAGGCCAAUCAAACCGGGAGAUAGCUGGUUCUCCCCGAAAGCUAUUUAGGUAGCGCCUCGUGAAUUCAUCUCCGGGGGUAGAGCACUGUUUCGGCUAGGGGGCCAUCCCGGCUUACCAACCCGAUGCAAACUGCGAAUACCGGAGAAUGUUAUCACGGGAGACACACGGCGGGUGCUAACGUCCGUCGUGAAGAGGGAAACAACCCAGACCGCCAGCUAAGGUCCCAAAGUCAUGGUUAAGUGGGAAACGAUGUGGGAAGGCCCAGACAGCCAGGAUGUUGGCUUAGAAGCAGCCAUCAUUUAAAGAAAGCGUAAUAGCUCACUGGUCGAGUCGGCCUGCGCGGAAGAUGUAACGGGGCUAAACCAUGCACCGAAGCUGCGGCAGCGACGCUGAUGCGUUGUUGGGUAGGGGAGCGUUCUGUAAGCCUGUGAAGGUGGCCUGUGAGGGUUGCUGGAGGUAUCAGAAG